AUUGAACGCUGGCGGCAGGCUUAACACAUGCAAGUCGAGCGGAGAUGAGGUGCUUGCACCUUAUCUUAGCGGCGGACGGGUGAGUAAUGCUUAGGAAUCUGCCUAUUAGUGGGGGACAACAUUCCGAAAGGAAUGCUAAUACCGCAUACGUCCUACGGGAGAAAGCAGGGGAUCUUCGGACCUUGCGCUAAUAGAUGAGCCUAAGUCGGAUUAGCUAGUUGGUGGGGUAAAGGCCUACCAAGGCGACAAUCGGUAGCGGGUCUGAGAGGAUGAUCCGCCACACUGGGACUGAGACACGGCCCAGACUCCUACGGGAGGCAGCAGUGGGGAAUAUUGGACAAUGGGGGGAACCCUGAUCCAGCCAUGCCGCGUGUGUGAAGAAGGCCUUAUGGUUGUAAAGCACUUUAAGCGAGGAGGAGGCUACUGAGACUAAUACUCUUGGAUAGUGGACGUUACUCGCAGAAUAAGCACCGGCUAACUCUGUGCCAGCCGCCGCGGUAAUAC
rnacentral:rRNA from 1 species